AAGAAGCGUUUAGUGAUGGGAUGCAUGAAAGUAGAGAAUCUGUCAACUUUAUGAUGAAAUGUCAUGAUGGCCGACAGGUGUACAUGGGUGGAACUCAUGGAAAGUCCCAUUUAAGUUCCAGUAGAUAGCCUCCUUAACUCUUAUUUUAGACUGACGUAAGUACAGUCUGUUUGCGUUGGUACCAUGAUUCAAAUAGUUUCCAUUUAUGUCUGUAGGUGUGUCGGGUAGUUGCCCUACGACUGUUUAAUAUGUUUUGAACUUCUGUGGAACUUGUCAUUUCAGAUCCCGAGAGCCAUGUAGUAACCAGGCUUUAAGAUGAAGUUUUUGGGGAUCUGGAUGGAGGAUGCGCUCUGCAUCCUGCAACAGAAGUCGAGGCAGAAGGAGGAGCGUGCGUGGGGGACAGAGCGACAUGUGGAGAAGUUUAUGGUACAAAACAGUUCAGCUGAGUAUUGCAGCAGGAUAUGGAAUCAGAAGUUGAACAACAAAACUUUCUGGUAAGAUGCAUCCUUUUCUGGGUUCAUCACAUUUUUCUUCCUGCUAACAAUUCCCACACCUUCCUUUUUACAGAAAAGUUGGUCACAGGGAAAUUUGUGAAUUUUGACAUUUUUGGUUUUUCCUCUGGACACCAGUUCCUAAACUUUGCUUCAGUGCUCCAAAGAAUAAAAAGAUCUCAGUCUGCACAACUCUCAUUUGGGGGAAGGGAUAACUCAGUGGUUUGAGCAUUGGCCUGCUAAUCCCAAGGUUGUGAGUUCAAUCCUUGAGGGGGCCAUUUAGGGAUCUGGGGCUAAAAUUGGGGAUUGGUCCUGCUUUGAGCAGGGGGUUGGACUAGAUGACCUCCUGAGGUCCCUUCCAACCCUGAUAUUCUAUGAUUCAGUUGUUUCACAGCUCCAGGCAAUGCUGAUUUAAAUACAUUCUGUCAUUUAAUACAUUUUAUUGUGUUGUACAUUUUGCAUCAGUUUGAAGUCUUGCUGCUCCAGAGAUCACUUCCAUGGCUCCCUAAAGAGAAGUCUCUGCCUAUUCUUAAUGAAGGUGAAAACAUUUUCAGUCUCUAAUUUUCUAUUAGCCCUAGUUUUAUUUAUUUAAAGAAAUGCUAGCGUGUGAAACAGUGCACUCAUAGUAUCAACGUAAGAACUACAAUGUAGGUUAUUAAAACACAGAUGGUAGAAUAAGACAUACACAAAUGUAUUUGCUUAUAAUUAAGUAGUGAAGUUUACCCAGAAGCUUUGUUUUUUUGGAGCGCCAAUCACUUUUAUUACUAGCUUAAGAGUAAUAACUUUCUAAGUUCCUGUUUGGAUUGAACAAUUUUGAGUUUUACAAAAAUAUUAAACAUUUAUUUAUAUUUACACCUAUUUAGCACAGUUAAUACUAUGAAGUUAACCAAGGCUUUAAGUUGUCCUUACCUCUGGAAGUGAUGGCUAUAGAGCUGUGUUGGAAUCCCCAGGAUACGAUCAUAUAUAGCUGUAACUUCUCGUAGGUUGCCCUGUUCAUUUUCCCAAUUUAUAUACAUUUCCCAUAGUCUGUCAGAGCGGAAAUCUGUCCCUGCAGCUAAGACUGCAUGUUCAUAGGCUCUGAAAAAAUGUUUAACAGCCAUUUCUGAAUGUAGUACCUCUAUUCAAGUAGCAAGAAGAAUUAGGUGGUUUUUUUUGUAAGAGCCUUUGAAUGUUUUAUUUCGCUUUUACUGCAUUCUUUUGGGGAUUCAAACAAUACAUGUUACCAAGUAUGUUCUCUAGAUAUUUGAUAAAUACAAGACCUUUUUAAUAAGCAGCUCUACAGUGAUUUUUCCUAAUAUUUUCACAAUAAAAGGAAUAAGGGCAACAUAAAAAUAAGCCAUAAACAAGAAAUCAAACCACUAAAACCCACGAGGAGUUUCUCUCUAAGAGCUUAGUCCCAAGGCUCUGAGGAGUGAAUGGAACUAUUUUAUCAGACAAAAAUGGAGACAUUGAUAAAGCUAGAUGCUACUUCAGCUUUGCUCAAAUGUGUAAAGAUUUUUACUUCUUCAUGUAGCUACAUAUCAUUUACAACUGUGUUCAUGUGUUUCUUCCUUUUUUUUUUAAAAUAUAAACACAACCAACUUACCCUCUUACAGUAUUAUUAGUUUCAGGGUCAAUAGGAUCCAGGGUCUCUUUUAAGAAGUUUAUAUAAUGUAUCCAAAGAUCAACACUAAGAGGUAUUGCCUGUAGCCCUCUCCGAUACACCUAUGAAGAGAACAUCAUAAACUGUACUUCAAAUAUUUAAUAGCGUCCUAAGAGAGAGGCAACACUGUGUUAUCCGGUGAACCUUAGAAAUACUAAUUACUGGAAUUUUGUUUAAAUAAUCUACCAUUACCAUUUGGGUGGAGGUUGGAUAGAACAUGGCAAUGUUCUGAUCUCCACGUGCAGAGUCUUGAUCUUCAAAGCGCAGCGGUCCCUGCAUUCUGACCAGGUUGUGUGGGCAGGCUUUGGGGUACAGACCAUAGGGCACAGACCCAUUAGAGCAUCACUGACAGCGUCUGACCAAAAAUGCAAUAAGAUGUAGCAAUUGUGACCAGCAAACCAACUAUAUUGUUUUGAAAAUGAGAAAUAAAUGUAAGUGACAGAAAAGCCCUGCCCUACUUGUUAAGCUGCAGUGUAAUACAGAGGCUUGCACUGCAAAGCUUGACAAACUGUAGAGGUUUAACGCACCUGCCAACAAAGAGAGAAAAUAUUAGCUACAAAUGCCACAAAAAAAGUGACAAAUGCAAACAAAAUCCCUAUAAAUCUGACCAUAUAUGGUAGGUACUGGCAGCCAAAACGACUUGCAGUGGUUUAGUCAUCAUUUGGCUUACAGGACCAAAUGGUGAUAGCUAUAUCCAGCUACCAACGUACCUCAUCAGACUGUUUAAUGUUGUCAUGUCGCUUUUCAAGGUCUGCAUACUUUUUCCAAUAUCCAUAGCAAUAUGGA